rnacentral:tRNA from 1 species
GCUUUGGUAGCUCAAAUGGUUAGAGCGUCGGUGUGAAGUACCGAAUAUUAGAGUUCAAUCCUCUGCAGAAGCA